UACCCGCAGCACAAGUGGUGGUCAUUAUUAUUGGGCCUAAAGCGUCCGUAGCUGGCCUGUUAGAUGCCUGGGUAAAUCGAUGCGUUCAACGUAUCGAACUCCGGGUAGACCGGCAGGCUUGGGACCGGGAGAGAUGUGAGCUACUCGAGGGGUAGGGGUAAAAUCCUGUAAUCCUUCGGGGAGGACCAGUGGCGAAGGCGUCACAUUAGAACGGCUCCGACAGUGAGGGACGAAGCCCUGGGGCGCAAACCGG
rnacentral:rRNA from 1 species